GGUGGCUCAGUGGUAGAGUGCUUGCCUUGCAUGCAUGAGGACCUGGGUUCGAUUCCUCAGUACCA
rfam:Dipodomys ordii contig_15584, whole genome shotgun sequence.